UACCGUCGUGGCCUUGUGAGUUUCAUUCCAAGAAUAACUGUUGACUUGUGGAUCGCAGAUUCCAUGACUCUUUUAAUUGGCCACCAAUUCUGGAAAGAAGAGAAAAUAAUGAGGAUCAAUCUGAUGUGCAACGAGCUGUGAGUGGUUUGGGGUGCAGCGAUUGGAGUGUAAAAGAUGAAAGUGAGGAAGGGAAUCAAUCAGCAACAAAACGAGGCCAUUUUUUUGUCACGAAGCAGACAAAUAGUCCACAAUUUCGGGAGUGUUCGAUUAAUUUUAAAUCUCGAUUGGUGAAAAUUUUAUAAGCAAUUCAACAAUUUUUUUAUUCUAAAAAAAAUUUUUUUGUUCGGGAG